UACGUAGGGGGCGAGCGUUGUCCGGAUUUAUUGGGCGUAAAGAGCUCGUAGGCGGUUCGAUAAGUCGGACGUGAAAUCUCCACGCUCAACGUGGAGGGGCCGUUCGAUACUGUCGUGACUCGAGUCCGGUAGGGGAAUGUGGAAUUCCCGGUGUAGCGGUGAAAUGCGUAGAUAUCAGGAGGAACACCUGCGGUGUGAGACGGCUUACGUGGACGGUAACUGACGCUGAGGCACGAAAGCGUGGGUAGCAAACAGGAUUAGAAACCCC
rnacentral:rRNA from 1 species